UACGUAGGGGGCAAGCGUUGUCCGGAAUCAUUGGGCGUAAAGAGCGCGUAGGCGGCCCGAUAAGUCCGCUGUGAAAGUCAAGGGCUUAACCCUUGAAUGCCGGUGGAAACUGUCGGGCUAGAGUCCGGAAGAGGCGAGUGGAAUUCCUGGUGUAGCGGUGAAAUGCGCAGAUAUCAGGAAGAACACCAACGGCGAAGGCAGCUCGCUAGGACGGUACUGACGCUGAGACGCGAAAGCGUGGGGAGCGAACAGG
rnacentral:rRNA from 1 species